rnacentral:rRNA from 4 species
GAACCCCUUCCGUAGGCCUCCGGGGGGGGGCCCGCGGAGGGGGCGUUU